AUCAUAAUAAGAGGAGGCUUACACUUUUUUCUUUUCUUUCAAUUGCAGCUUAUACCAAAUGCUUUUGUGAGGUUGCCACAGUUACAAGGAAGGAUCCCUGAGGAUGUAAUCCUCAGAAAUGCAAGUGGGAGAGUGUGGCAUGUCAAAACACGCUAUGUCAGAAACUAUAUUUUGAUGAUGGAUGGAAUGCUUUCCAUGAAGAAAACUGCUUAGGACAUGCAGACUUUCUUGUCUUCAAGCAUGACCGUAGUAAUGAGUUCAAGGUAGUAAUCCUUGAAUCAUCAACACAGUGUCAAAAGCCUGUGGUAAAGAUGGAGGAGGAGAAUGAACAAGAGCAAGCAGCAGCACAACAUGUUGAGGACUGUGACAUAGAGGAGGAGGAAGACAGUUCUUCCAAGGAUGAGAACUAUGAUGGCAGUGAUUCUGAUGAUGAUGAAGAGAGUGAAGAAGAAUUCAGUGCUGGAUUCAAGCGUCAAAGUCAUCAUAGAAGAGCUUGCAAAAGGGAGUCUGCAUCAAAUUCCAACCCCAAUGCUGAAGAUCUUCUUCCAGAAUAUGUAUUUGAUCCAGAAAUGUGUAUUCAGCCGGAGAAUCAUUUUUUUAAAGCAAAACUCUACAAAACUAGACCCAACGAAUUGGAUAUUUCAAUAAAUUUAUUGGGAGACUGUCAUCAUAACUUGGCACAACAGACAUUCAUCAAAACCAAGUAUCAGCAAGUGUCAGGAAGAGUGUGUAGGUGGAAAGAUUAUAGAAUAUAUAUCAAGGGUUGGGAUAGCUUUUGCAGAAGGAAUGAGAUCGAAAGAGAUGAUACUUGCUUCUGUGAAGUUAUAUCAGGGGAAGAGCAAGGAGUAAGAACACUAAGGGUGCAUGUUGCUAGGAGGAGAUGAACACCACUAGUACUUGCUGUAAAUAUUUUUAGGAAUUAGUACUUGUAAUUUUCUUAUGUAACGGUUUCUUCCAUUUUCUCAUGGAAUGAUAGCCAUAUUUGCCUGUAGUUGGUUGCACAAUCAUUUAGCUUACACUAUUUCACUGCUUAGCCAUUUGUCUUGUUCUGCUUUGGACAACUUCUAUUAAUUGGAUUGGAAUUUGGAAUCUUUUUUGUGGACUUAAA